UCAAUAGAAGCCAAAUAGAGGCUCUCCACUGUUAAUGGAGAGAUUGAGAUUUUCUCCUUUUGAA
rnacentral:tRNA from 1 species